CAGGGUGUGGUGAAAAAAAUGCAAUCAACUUCAGACUGUAAUUUCUAAGCCACUCGUCCGACAGCUGUUAAAAUUAUUCUAGUGACAGCUCAUUAUAUUGUUAACAGGCGUACAAAAUUAUUUUGGUGAGAAUUUUCUAGAAAAAAACGUAGUCCGACGUCAAGGAACUGGACAGAAGAAAACAGCAACAUCAAGAGAAAUGGUUCGAGAAAUAAAGAAGCGACUUGAUUGAAACCCGCGUCGCAGUGUCCGAAAAAUUGCUCGUGAGCUGAACAUAUCGCAAUAUUCCAUACGGCAAAUAUUAAAAAAUGUGUUUGGAGUAAAGCCAUUAAAAUUCCAAAAAGUGCAAGAACUUAUACCGCAACAGAAACUCAAAAGAGCUAAAGAUUUGCUUCGCUUGGCCGAAAGUGGUCAACUGCCGAAUUUGGUUUUCUCCGAUGAGAAAACAUUCGUUGUCCAGCAGUUUGUAAACAAACAAAAUGAUCGUAUUUACUUGCCAAAGAGGUCAGCUGAAAAUGUGAACCUUCGGUUGGCCACUAGAACUCAAACGCCGGCCAUGGUGAUGGUGUGGCCCGCCAUAACAGCCAAUUAUC